ACAUUAGAUUUGAUGGUUCUCACGUUCUCACAAAUAAUGUAGUUCUCUCUAGAACCACACCAUAUAUAUGUGUGUGUGUGUGUAUGUGUGUGUGUGUGUGUGUGUUGAGAUAGAGUUCCAAAUUAUCUUUGAUUCUGAAAGAUUCAGCUUCAUUUUAGUUAAUGUACAUAAAUAGAGUUUUAAAAAAAUGCUUGUUUUUUAAUACA
rnacentral:lncRNA from 1 species